UACGGGGGGGGCAAGCGUUGUUCGGAAUUACUGGGCGUAAAGGGCUUGUAGGUGGCCGGCUAAGUCAGACGUGAAAUCCCUCAGCUUAACUGGGGAACUGCGUCUGGGACUGGUCGGCUUGAGGGCCGGAGAGGAACGCGGAAUUCCAGGUGUAGCGGUGAAAUGCGUAGAUAUCUGGAGGAACACCGGUGGCGAAGGCGGCGUUCUGGACGGCAUCUGACACUGAGAAACGAAAGCCAGGGGAGCAAACGGG
rnacentral:rRNA from 1 species